rnacentral:tRNA from 1 species
GGAUUCUGGCUCAAUGGUAGAGCACUUGCCUAGCAUGUGUGAGGCACUGGGUUCGAUUCUCAGCACCA